AGCUCCAAUAGCGUAUAUUAAUGUUGUUGCAGUUAAAAAGCUCGUAGUUGGAUAUCUGGCUUUGCGCGGACGGCCCGCCUUCGGGUUGAGUGCUGAAUGCGCUAGCCUAUCUUUCGGUUUGUGGCUCUUCCCUUUACUGUGGCGGGGUUCACGAUCCGGAUCAUUUACUUUGAAGAAAUUAGAGUGUUCAAAGCAGGCUUACGCCGUGAAUAUUGCAGCAUGGAAUAAUAACAUAGGACUAUCGUUUUAUCCUAUUUGUUGGUUCUGGGAUCGUAGUAAUGAUUGAUAGGGACAGUUGGGGGUGCUGCUAUUCCGCGGCCAGAGGUGAAAUUCUCAGAUUCCCGGAAGAGCAACUUAUGCGAAAGCAUUCACCAAGGAUGUCUUCUUUA
rnacentral:rRNA from 1 species